rnacentral:rRNA from 1 species
GAGUUUGAUCAUGGCUCAGGAUGAACGCUAGCGGCAGGCCUAACACAUGCAAGUCGAGGGGUAACAGGAAGUGCUUGCACUUCGCUGACGACCGGCGCACGGGUGAGUACCGCGUAUACAAUCUGCCUCAUACUAGGGGAUAGCCCGAAGAAAUUUGGAUUAAUACCCUAUAGUAUCUUUUUAAGGCAUCUUAUUAAGAUUAAAGGUUACGGUAUGAGAUGAGUAUGCGUUCUAUUAGCUAGUAGGUGUGGUAACGGCACACCUAGGCUACGAUAGAUAGGGGCCCUGAGAGGGGGAUCCCCCACACUGGUACUGAGACACGGACCAGACUCCUACGGGAGGCAGCAGUGAGGAAUAUUGGACAAUGGGCGAAAGCCUGAUCCAGCCAUGCCGCGUGCAGGAUGACUGCCCUAUGGGUUGUAAACUGCUUUUAUAUAGGAAGAAAAACUUUCUCGUGAGAAAGCUUGACGGUACUAUAAGAAUAAGGAUCGGCUAACUCCGUGCCAGCAGCCGCGGUAAUACGGAGGAUCCAAGCGUUAUCCGGAAUCAUUGGGUUUAAAGGGUCCGUAGGUGGACAAAUAAGUCAGAGGCGAAAUCCUGCAGCUCAACUGUAGAACUGCUUUUGAUACUGUUUGUCUUGAGUUAUUAUGAAGUGGUUAGAAUGUGUAGUGUAGCGGUGAAAUGCAUAGAUAUUACACAGAAUACCGAUUGCGAAGGCAGAUCACUAAUAAUUAACUGACACUGAGGGACGAAAGCGUGGGUAGCGAACAGGAUUAGAUACCCUGGUAGUCCACGCCGUAAACGAUGGUCACUAGCUGUUUGGACUCCGGUCUGAGUGGCUAAGCGAAAGUGAUAAGUGACCCACCUGGGGAGUACGUUCGCAAGAAUGAAACUCAAAGGAAUUGACGGGGGCCCGCACAAGCGGUGGAGCAUGUGGUUUAAUUCGAUGAUACGCGAGGAACCUUACCAGGGCUUAAAUGUUAGGUGACAGAUCUAGAAAUAGAUUUUUCUUCGGACACUUAACAAGGUGCUGCAUGGUUGUCGUCAGCUCGUGCCGUGAGGUGUCAGGUUAAGUCCUAUAACGAGCGCAACCCCUGUUGUUAGUUACCAGCGAGUAAUGUCGGGAACUCUAGCAAGACUGCCAGUGCAAACUGUGAGGAAGGUGGGGAUGACGUCAAAUCAUCACGGCCCUUACGUCCUGGGCUACACACGUGCUACAAUGGUAGGUACAGAGAGCAGCCAAUGCGCGAGCAUGAGCAAAUCUAUAAAACCUAUCUCAGUUCGGAUCGGAGUCUGCAACUCGACUCCGUGAAGCUGGAAUCGCUAGUAAUCGGAUAUCAGCCAUGAUCCGGUGAAUACGUUCCCGGGCCUUGUACACGCCGCCCGUCAAGCCAUGGAAGUUGGGAGUGCCUGAAGUCCGUUUCCGCAAGGAUCGGCCUAGGGUAAAAUCGAUAACUAGGGCUAAGUCGUAACAAGGUAACC